rnacentral:rRNA from 1 species
GAGUGCAAGGAAUGUUGGAUGCGAUCAUCCCAUCAGAACUCUGAAGUCAAGCGUGCUUGGGCGAGAGUAGUACUAGGAUGGGUGACACCCCAGGAAGUCCUCGUGUUGCAUCCC